ensembl:lncRNA
CCAGCAGACUGGGGGUGGUGAUUGGAUAAUAUGAUACUGUGCAGCUCUGAUCAUUUUUUUUGCCUUCUCUAAUGAAGCUAGUUAAUGACCACCUACCUUACCCCACUCACCCUUCUAUCCCUCACCUCUCAUACCCACAGGAUCUAAGACCAGUAACUCACCCUACCCACUAGCCCUUCUACACCCUCUCCACUCCCCCUGCCCUGUCCUGGGCAUGGAUACUUUAAAGGCAAUAUGUUGGACUGAGCUUCCCUGGCUGUAGGUCUCUACAGCUGUGGUCUAACUGUACAUAGGAGCAUACUCCACUUUCACCCGCUUUUUACCACGGGGAAAACAGCCUAUCUACAUGUACUGGCUUAUAUCAAAUAGAAGUGUUGUACAAUAGACCAUAAACGUCGGGAUUGUUGUUUUAUUACCAAAAAUAGACCUGGAUGGGACUCAAGACCUGUUUGUUUUCAGACUGAAGGAACCACAUGUAUUCAUUCAUUUAUUUUGUGUAUGAGAAGGCCAUCACACACAUGGGAAUAUCAGGCGUGUUUGACGAAACCUUGGUUUUAAUGCACUAUAUAAACAUACGCUUACAUUUCAUCAAAAGUCAGCACUUACAUGCUUGUUCUAGCCUUACGUUUUGGCCUUGACUUCAAUGGUGAAUAUCCAUUCGGAAACAUGUGCAUUAAUUUAAUCAAUUUGAAUAUGCAGGACGCUCAGCCAAUGGUGUCAAACCUAAGCCCAAGUCUGAGAUUUGAUUGGACAGUGAAGCUGGAGGAGGGUUAAUGAUCAGUGUUUUGUAGUGAGUGUGUGGUACUCUAAAGAUUCUGUCUGAGUAGUGGUUGAAAAAUAACAUAACACAAAAUGUAAAGAUUGGAAUAGGAAAACCAAAGUCUCAGAGAUAUGUGUGUUUCACAGACUUGUCAGGUGUGGGGUUGUCAGCAUUCUCAAUCUGCAGUUAAACACACCAGCUAGCUAUCAUGUCUUCAGUAUUUCAGAAAAUACCAGUGGGUCAGUAUUUCAUUGGGGACCUGUAAAUGUAAUGUAAACUUGGGAAGCCUCUCCUCUCUCUGUGAGGGUCUUGUCAGCUCCAGCAGUUCUGCACGUGCCUUAUGUUUGUUUCUUAAACCAUCACAUCUCAUUUUGGGGGAAUUCAAAAUGGUGGAGAAGUUACUGCGAUUGAAACCACGUACUUAUGAUUGUGCAUUUACGACACGUGUGUCUUAGCAACCACAACGCGGGCACUACCUGUGUCCCUUUGCAGCCAUACGUACAACAGGCCUGAUUCCAUUUCAGUUGCAAGCCCCUUGUGCUCACCCUGGCUCUUUGGAGUGAACAGAUGUGAAAAGGCUCGGUUAAGCACUAUGGGAACGAAAAAUGGAUCCAUCACGUACACUAUUACACACAUCCAGUCCUUUCAUAUCUGAGCGCUUUGAGCAACGGUGGUGGUAAGAGCCAGGGAAAGGGGCCCUGAACUUAAAUGGAACCAGGCCCCAGGCGGUGGACAGGCUGUGCCAGGGGAGUUGUAUUGGGAACCAUGCUGUCUUACGUAGUUGUUUGCUAUGCAUCAGGUCUGGCCUGGGCUGUCUGAGGGAAUCCACCCUUCCACAAAGACAAAUAAGUGUCUUAUUUACCCAAUAAAACAUGAAGUCAUUUAACCAGAAGUGUGAAUAGUAACAGUAAUAAUUUGUAAAGCGUUGUGCAGAAAGUGACUAUCAUUUCAUGUCAACUUUAGUGACUGCAGCUUCCUGCAGUGCUGCCUUAAUCAGAAGUCAAGCUCCAGUACUGAAGUGUUUGUCUGUUGUAAAUAGUGUCUGUUCUGUUGUGUUCUGUUGUGUUCUGCCUGCAUGGAUACAAACUGGGCUCAGUUACGUACGCUGGUAUAGCCUAAACCUAAACCUAUCGUAGACCACAGACCUAUCUUAGACCACAUUUGACAUUAGAGCCAGCAAGACCCCAUAAGUCUGUCCCUAUCCAUCCAUCAAUUAGAAUGUUUGUUAAACAAUCAUCGCAAGCUUGAGAUCCCAGGGCCUGUGCCAGCCUAUGAUAGUGUCUCUCAUUGCACUUCAGCUAAGACCAAGAACCCUCAUUGGCUAGCAGCUAUACUCCCCUGAGCCAAUGGGUGCCUAGUGCAGCAGUGUGUGCGUGUGUGUGGGACUUGCUCAGAGGGCAUUACCAAAAAUACACCUGUCCUUGUCAGUGUGUGUGUCAGCUCACACACUGCGCAGAGAAUGAGCCUGAACUGGAUCUCAUAACCAAAUUACACCUUUCACAGGAGGCCUGGAUCUCUCUAAACCUUUCUAGGGUCUAAGUGUGGUCUAGAUGUAGUCUAGGAUUGGUCUAAGGAAUCUAGAUGUAGUCUAGGAUUGGUCUAAGGAAUCUAGAUGUAGUCUAGGAUUGGUCUAAGGAAUCUAGAUGUAGUCUAGGAUUGGUCUAAGGAAUCUAGAUGUAGUCUAGGAUUGGUCUAAUGAAUCUAGAUGUAGUCUAGGAUUGGUCUAAUGAAUCUAGAUGUGGUUUAAGGGGUCUAUAGGCUUGGCAGCUCAAUAUUCCAUGGUCGGUCUCUGAUGUUUGAGUUAAAGCCACUAGGAUCUGUCUGUUUCUCUCUCUCUACCAGCCGAUGUUCCGGUGCCUUCUACAGCUGACUAGUAUUGUCCCGAUCCUCUGCUUUAACGCUACACAAGACCCAUCGCGUGGUCCAGUACAGUCCCGUACGGUCAAGUUGGGUUUUGCGGUCUUUUGUUAUGUACUGGAUUCUGUAUUCACUCUGGUCCAACUGUAUGACUGGUAUGACUCCAGGUAGAAGUUUACCCAACCCUAAAUCCUAAUCUUCAUCAUCAGGGGGACGAAGGAACAUCUGGUCCUGGAUCAGUGGUUAGGGAAGACCUGUGCCUCUACACUGAGACCAGUCUGACCAGUCCAGGACAGCCACUGGAGCUGAAUCAUACUGCAUGCGCCUCAAAUCACAGCCUACAUAGUGUACUACUACAGAACCUGUUUAAACGCAGUGCGCUGGUAUGGAGUCAUUUGAGAAGCAGCCACAGUCUCUACUAAUACGUGUAGUCAUUAACAUAUAUGUUAUGUUUCCAAGCUUUAAUGUUGUUCAACGCUGAACACGCAGAUGAAGCGUCGAUGAGGAAACCAAUAAAUGUACUUUGCAAGAGCACAAAGCUCUUAACUGUGUUGGCAUAUUUGAGUUUGAAUACAUAGUGUAUUUGAACCUUUUUACUAGAGUGGGUUUUCCUUUAUUAGCAUGCUCCACUUGAUUGUAUUCAUUACGAUUUGAGACGGGCGGAGAAGUUGACUUUCAGUUGCAUUUGGAGCAAGACUUGUACAUUGUUUGAUAUGUUUGUUUUUGUAAUGGAUUUUUAAUUCAUAAAGCAUUUUUGUACAUUGUAUGAAUAUUAAAAAUGGCAAAUAUUUGACAUGUAGACAUCAGUAAAUACUUAGAUGCUCAUGCAUAUGCAUAUAUCCUUAGUAUGUAUGUGUAAAUGUACACAUAUUUUGUAUUUGCCUUCACUCAUAUACAGAUAUAUGUCAUAUGCACAUAUACAUGCAAUAUACUGUAUAUGUAUAGCCAUGUCUGCUGGCAUGCUUCUGGUCAUGUUUACUUAACAUGAUCUUGUCG